rnacentral:rRNA from 1 species
GACGAACGCUGGCGGCGUGCUUAACACAUGCCAGUCGAACGGGCCUGUCUUCUUUUUUGGGGGUGGGUUGAGUGGCGAACGGGUGAGUAUCACGUGAGUAACCUGCCCUUCGGUCCUGGGUAACCGCUUGAAAGGGCGGCUAAUACGGGGUGGUCCGGUUGGUCCGCAUGGGCUGGUCGGGAUAGAUUCACUGUUUUUGGUGUUUCGGCGGGGGAUGGGCUCGCGGCCUAUCAGCUUGUUGGUGGGGUGAUGGCCUACCAAGGCGGUGACGGGUAGCCGGCCUGAGAGGGUGGGCGGCCAACCUGGGACUGAGAUACGGCCCAGACUCCUGCGGGAGGCAGCAGUGGGGGGUAUUGCACAAUGGGCGGAAGCCUGAUGCAGCGACGUCGCGUGAGGGAUGGAGGCCUUCGGGUUGUGAACCUCUGUUUCCGGUGGUGAAGGCCCUGUCCGUGUGGUGGGGUUGACGGUAGCCGGGGAUGAAGCGCCGGCUAACUACGUG